rnacentral:rRNA from 1 species
CAGCCGCCACGGGAAUACAGAGGGUGCGAGCGUUAAUCGGAUUUACUGGGCGUAAAGCGUGCGUAGGCGGCUUCUUAAGUCGGAUGUGAAAUCCCUGAGCUUAACUUAGGAAUUGCAUUCGAUACUGGGAAGCUAGAGUAUGGGAGAGGAUGGUAGAAUUCCAGGUGUAGCGGUGAAAUGCGUAGAGAUCUGGAGGAAUACCGAUGGCGAAGGCAGCCAUCUGGCCUAAUACUGACGCUGAGGUACGAAAGCAUGGGGAGCAAACAGGAUUAGAGACCCCCGUAGUCCCUGUCUCUUAUAA